GUACGGAUGGUGCAACCGUUGUUCGGUGUUACUGGGCAUAAAGGGCGCGUAGGCGGCCGUAUAAGUCUAGGGUGAAAUCCCACAGCUCACCUGUGGAACUGCCUUGGAUACUGUAUGGCUUGAGAGUUGGAGGGGGUAGGGGAAUUCUGGGUGUAGCGGUGAAAUGCGUAGAUAUCCAGGAGAAGGUCGGCGGCGAAGGCGCCUACCUGGCCAACUACUGACGCUGAGGCGCGAAAGCUAGGGGAGCGAACAGGAUUAGAAACCCUAGUAGUCC
rnacentral:rRNA from 1 species